CAUGCAAGUCGAACGGAAAGGCCCUUCGGGGUACUCGAGUGGCGAACGGGUGAGUAACACGUGGGUGAUCUGCCCUGCACUUUGGGAUAAGCCUGGGAAACUGGGUCUAAUACCGGAUAUGAUCAUCGGCUUCAUGGUCGGUGGUGGAAAGCUUUUGCGGUGUGGGAUGGGCCCGCGGCCUAUCAGCUUGUUGGUGGGGUAAUGGCCUACCAAGGCGACGACGGGUAGCCGGCCUGAGAGGGUGUCCGGCCACACUGGGACUGAGAUACGGCCCAGGCUCCUACGGGAGGCAGCAGUGGGGAAUAUUGCACAAUGGGCGCAAGCCUGAUGCAGCGACGCCGCGUGAGGGAUGACGGCCUUCGGGUUGUAAACCUCUUUCAGUAGGGACGAAGCGCAAGUGACGGUACCUAUAGAAGAAGGACCGGCCAACUACGUGCCAGCAGCCGCGGUAAUACGUAGGGUCCGAGCGUUGUCCGGAAUUACUGGGCGUAAAGAGCUCGUAGGUGGUUUGUCGCGUUGUUCGUGAAAACUCACA
rnacentral:rRNA from 1 species